rfam:Thelazia callipaeda genome assembly, scaffold: TCLT_contig0000419
CAAAAAGCUUUUUUAAAAGCAAUAAUUUCUUUCAAAAAAUUUAUUU